CAGUAGCCGCGGGAAUACGAAGGGUGCAAGCGUUACUCGGAAUUACUGGGCGUAAAGCGUGCGUAGGUGGUGGUUUAAGUCCGUUGUGGAAGCCCUGGGCUCAACCUGGGAAUUGCAGUGGAUACUGGGUCACUAGAGUGUGGUAGAGGAUAGUGGAAUUUCCGGUGUAGCAGUGAAAUGCGUAGAGAUCGGAAGGAACAUCUGUGGCGAAGGCGACUAUCUGGGCCAACACUGACACUGAGGCACGAAAGCGUGGGGAGCAAACAGGAUUAGAUACCCCAGUAGUCCCUGUCUCUUAUAC
rnacentral:rRNA from 1 species